CUAAGUUUGAUGGCGACCGGCGCACGGGUGAGUAACACGUAUCCAACCUGCCGAUGACUCGGGGAUAGCCUUUCGAAAGAAAGAUUAAUACCCGAUGGCAUAGUUCUUCCGCAUGGUAGAACUAUUAAAGAAUUUCGGUCAUCGAUGGGGAUGCGUUCCAUUAGGUUGUUGGCGGGGUAACGGCCCACCAAGCCUUCGAUGGAUAGGGGUUCCGAGAGGAAGGUCCCCCACAUUGGAACUGAGACACGGUCCAAACUCCUACGGGAGGCAGCAUG
rnacentral:rRNA from 1 species